GGAGCGUGACCUCUUCAUGGACCCUGAGGAGGCGCGCGAAUGGGGGCUUAUAGACGAGGUCAUCGAGAACCGCCCUGCCUCGCUCAUGCCCGAAGGCCUCACUAUUGACCCGCCUCACCACGGUGGCGGCGCCAGCAACAACGGACGUGGCAGGGAGGAGGAGCCCUCAGCGGUAUGAAGGCUGCCCACAAAGGUGAAACCUUUCUCGAGCCCGGUGGCUAUGUUGUUUGUUGUUAGAUCUAAGUUUUGAUUUCUUAAUACGAC
rnacentral:lncRNA from 1 species